rnacentral:rRNA from 1 species
AUGUACAAAGGCGCCAAAGGCGGUUGCGGUGUGGUACUUGAGGCGGUGGCCACACAUGACCUCUGGAUUUGGCACUCCUUCUUUGGUAUGCCAGGAACUCACAACGACAUCAACGUGCUGCAGUGCUCCCCUGUCUUUGCCAAGCUUGUUGAAGGUCAUUCUCCUCCGGUGAACUUCGAGGUCAAUGGGCGGCAGUACAACAAGGGGUACUACCUAGCUGAUGGCAUCUAUCCGAGAUGGUCUACAUUUGUGAAGACAAUCUCAAACGUUGUGCGAGGAGGCAAGAAGUCCCACUUUGCGAAGGUUCAGGAGGCUUGCAGGAAGGAUGUCGAGCGGGCAUUUGGUGUGCUCCAAUCUCGAUUUGCUGUUGUCUGGUACCUAGCUCAGACCUCGUCGAAAGAUCAAAUGUGGGAGAUCAUGACUUGCUGUGUCAUCUUGCACAAUAUGAUCAUUGAGAGCGAGCAGGAAGAACCAGUGUUUGACACUGAAUCAUACUACAGGCAGGGUCCUCUUGCCCAAGUUGAUCACCAGCUACCGGCAACCUGGACUGCCUACCUCAGUAUGCGUCAAGAGAUCCGAGACCCAUAG